AUAAUGGAGAGUUUGAUCCUGGCUCAGGACGAACGCUGGCGGCGUGCCUAAUACAUGCAAGUCGAGCGGAAGUUGAAGAGCUUGCUCUUCAACUUUAGCGGCGGACGGGUGAGUAACACGUGGGCAACCUGCCCUGCAGAUCGGGAUAACUCCGGGAAACCGGUGCUAAUACCGAAUAGUUUUGGGUCCCUCCUGGGACCCAACGGAAAGACGGUUUCGGCUGUCACUGC
rnacentral:ncRNA from 1 species